GGGGCUGUGGCGAAAUGGCAGCCGCAGCGGACUUAAAAUCCGCCGCCCUCAAAAGGCAUGUGGGUUCGACUCCCACCGGCCCCA
rnacentral:tRNA from 1 species